rnacentral:rRNA from 1 species
UACGGAGGGGGCUAGCGUUGUUCGGAAUUACUGGGCGUAAAGCGCACGUAGGCGGAUGUGUCAGUCAGGGGUGAAAUCCCGGGGCUCAACCUCGGAACUGCCUUUGAUACAGCACGUCUUGAGUCCGAUAGAGGUGGGUGGAAUUCCUAGUGUAGAGGUGAAAUUCGUAGAUAUUAGGAAGAACACCGGUGGCGAAGGCGGGUCUCUGGGCCGAUACUGACGCUGAGGAGCGAAAGCGUGGGGAGCGAACAGG